GACGAACGCUGGCGGCGUGCUUAACACAUGCAAGUCGAACGGAAAGGCCCUGCUUUUGUGGGGUGCUCGAGUGGCGAACGGGUGAGUAACACGUGAGUAACCUGCCCUUGACUUUGGGAUAACUUCAGGAAACUGGGGCUAAUACCGGAUAGGAGCUCCUCCUGCAUGGGGGGGGUUGGAAAGUUUCGGCGGUUGGGGAUGGACUCGCGGCUUAUCAGCUUGUUGGUGGGGUAGUGGCUUACCAAGGCUUUGACGGGUAGCCGGCCUGAGAGGGUGACCGGCCACAUUGGGACUGAGAUACGGCCCAGACUCCUACGGGAGGCAGCAGUGGGGAAUAUUGCACAAUGGGCGGAAGCCUGAUGCAGCAACGCCGCGUGCGGGAUGACGGCCUUCGGGUUGUAAACCGCUUUCGCCUGUGACGAAGCGUGAGUGACGGUAAUGGGUAAAGAAGCACCGGCUGACUACGUG
rnacentral:rRNA from 1 species